GAUGAACGCUGGCGGCGCGCCUAACACAUGCAAGUCGAACGGUAAGAGCACCUUCGCGUGGUUAUAAAGUGGCGAACGGGUGAGUAACACGUGGGCAACCUGCCCCGUUCAUUGGGAUAGGCACGGGAAACCGGGUAUAAUACCGAAUACUUCGAAACUUCCGCGUGGUAGACGCGAGGAAUCUCCGGCGGAGGGGGAUGGAGCCGCGUCUUGGUAGUUUGUUGGGGGGGUGGCGGCCUACCACGGCAAUGGUGGGUAGCUGGGUUGAGGUGUCGACCAGCAAGAUUGGGACUGAGAAAGGGCCAAGCCUCCUACGGGAGGCAGCAGUGGGGAAUUUGGACAAAGGGGGCAAAGCCUGAUGAAGCGACGCCGCGUGGGGGAUGAAGGCCUUCGGGUUUAAAACCGUUUCCCGCAGGGACGAGGCGAAAGUGACGGUACCUGCAGAAGAAGCACCGGCUAACUACGUG
rnacentral:rRNA from 1 species